ensembl:lncRNA
AGAGAACGGACAUUGGCGAGGAAAAUACUGGGUAAAGGCAGCCGAUGUGGUGUUAGCUUUAGCUUAGCCUGUAGCCCUCCGCGCCUACCUCGCCUUUGUUUACGUUCUCGGCGCCGUCUGCGUGCACUUCCGCCCGGCCGGGGAGAGUGGGCAGCCUCCGGUGUUCUGGAGAUCUCUGGGAUGAGUCGGAGAUCGGCGAUAAAACUGUUGGAGUUAUGAGUCCAGAUGUCCAGAAUCUCUUGUCUGCUGUAGGUCAGCAACGCACAGCAAUUCUGGAUGAAUAAUCCGGUUAAAAGUAGAUAAAAAACCGCUAAAUAGCAGAUUCUGGAGAGACACUGAGCCUCGCGUUGUUCACGCGCCGCCAUCUUGGUCGUAAAAGCAAAGCAUGUCUCGUCCCAGCAGUAGUAGUAUGUUGGCGUUUGGGUCUAAUGGCGGGAUCAAGUUAGCAAUCUUUCGUAGAUGGGCGUGGUGAUAGGCAGUUUCCAGAGUUGGUAUCUCAGAGCGGUUAUCUGGAAUGUUGUUACAUUCGAGGAGUGUUGGAAGAGGAAGACUUGCCUUUCCAUUCACUGACUCUACUAUAAAGCCAGAAGCACUUCUUCCUGAUACUCCUGUGAGUCCGGCACACGUCUUUAACAUGUAGGGGUGACUCUCUCCUUGGAUCUGAAAAACAUCAAAGAACUGGGAACGUGUCAACGAUCAAUUGCUCUGAUCGUCCAAGAUUGCAUACAUUUUCUUUGUUUGCUAUCUGUGUCCAGUGGGAUACAAAUUCACUAGUGUGAUUUUUUAACAUUCUCUGGCACUCACUCCUUCUCCACACACCUCAGUAGACCAAGACGUGACUUCUUGGGUGUCUGCUUUGUCACUUUCCCUGCCUUGCUGUGAAGGCGGGGACAAUUUAGACUCCAUGUCCAUGCACACAUUUUGUAAACAUAUACAACUAAUUAUCUAAAAAUGCAGCCAAUGCACCUGCGUUUUUUGGGGGUGGGGGUUUGUACAACCACUUAAAAAUAUUACUAAAACUAAAAUGAGAGAACAAUCAGGUGUCGCAAUAAGAUGCCCCACAAAUGAUGUGUGCCAGUAAAAAAUAUUGUUGGUCCACCAAAAGACAGAGGAGAACAGCACAGGGAUAAACCUGCAGGCCUGACAACAGCAGGUGUAUCACUCCGCUGGGUUUCUACUUGGUGACAGUGUUUACAAUGCAAUGUGCCUUUGUGACAUCAUUAGUGCCCUCACACAAAACAAAACAACAACUACACAACACACUAACUACACACUCCUAAAUGUCGCAAAUCUCCCACAUCUAAAAACUCUCUCUCUCGCUCUUUCUGUCUGGCUGCCGCUGCUGUCACUCCCAAAACUGUCCCCUCUUCCUAAACAACCAAAUCCCAUGUGUUGACUUUUUUUAAAAAAAAUUGGUCGACAUGGUACAUUUUUCCACCAAUAGGAAAGAGGUGACUUUUUUCCCCUUUACUGUUUUCGCGCUGUCCUUAGAAAACGCUUUUUUUUUAAACACACACAAACACACACAAAGAAAAUGUGACGACAGUAUUUAGAAAAAAGCAUGGCUUAUAUAUGUUUUUUUAUCAUAACUGUGGAUUUACUGGCCUGUAAUGAAACUUUAAAAACUGGUGUAUACUUUGAAGUCCAAACUUUCAACACGGGCUGAAAGACUCAAUGUGGCUGCAGCUUGUUACUGUGUCAACUUAAAUCAGUCAUGUGAUUUGGAGGUGCAGCGUGUCCGUGGACCCCAGAGGGUUAAUAACACUCACCUUCCUUCCAGUUCAACCAACCACCUGUGUGAAAUCUGAAAUUCCCAUGGUGUUGUUCAAAAUGUGCUCUGGCACAAUCAUAAGCAUUGCUUACUACUGACAACAAGAAAAAAGUGCUAUGGGCUGAACCAUUUGAUAAUGGUGGAGGGGGGGAACACUAUGCAAUAUAUUCAGUUUUAGCAUUUAUAUUCACUGUUAACUGUAACUACGCUCAAAGUGUUAAUGCUAUCUUAUUUUAAUAAACAACACUGUCAUAUGCAAAACUAGGGUGGCACUUGGGGUGGCAAGGGAUCAUUUUAGGGUAACACUUGCGACCCCAUGCCACCCGUCUAGAGCCGCCCCUGCAGUUGACAAUAUUCCUUCACGCAUUGAAUCAAAUAAACUUUAACCCAGCCACAUUAGCUUCUUUGAAAUUGAGACUAUGGUUAACCCCUCAUUGGCCUGCUUGAGACAUCCUCUUAAUAUAAGGAUUAAGAUGUUUGUCAUGUUUUUCACAGUUAAAACUAGUGUGUCCUCCUCCUAGCUGGGUUGAAGCGAUCUUCAACUUCAGCUUGUCAAUCAAUCAAAGACCCAGACAGAAGUUUCAUUCAUUUGAAAGCCUGAUUCUUAGCCUUGACCACCCUAGUAGGAAAAUUUAAAAAACAGUUUUAUUUGUAAUUAUCUAUCGUCCACCUGGGCCUUACACAGAGUUUCUGUCUGAUUUCUCAGAUUUUUUAUCUGAUUUAGUGCUCAGCUCAGAUAAAAUAAUUAUUGUGAGUGAUUUUAACAUCCAUGUAGAUGCUAAAAAUCUACAUGGAUGGACAGCAUUUAAUCUGUUAUUAAGCGUGUACAAAGUAAUGACAUUGAUAUCCCUGCCAACUGGAUCAAAGAGGAAACAGCAGGUCAGGUUGAGUGAGCAUUUAUUAAGACAAAGUAAUCUGGAACAUGAAUAAUUAUUCAUGGCCCCUGAUCGUGGCUCAAGAGUUGGGAGUUCGCCUUGUAAUCGGAAGGUUGCCAGUUCGAGCCCCGGCUCGGACAGUCUCGGUCAUUGUGUCCUUGGGCAAGGCACUUCACCUACCGCCUACUGGUGUUGGCCACAAGGGCCGAUGGUGCGAUAUGGCAGCCUCGCUUCUGUCAGCCUGCCCCAGGGCAGCUGUGGCUACAACUGUAGCUUGCCUCCACCAGUGUGUGUGGAUGGGUGGAUGACUGGAUGUGUAAAGCGCUUUGGGGUCCCUAGGCGGGACUAGUAAAGCGCUAUACAAAUACAGGCCAUUUACCAUCUGUUAUUAAAAUGCAGAUAGUUUACAGAGAAGCAAAACUGGGUACUUAUUUAGAGCUUCAGCUUAUGUAAAUAUGAAUGUCAUUGUGAACUUUUGAACUAUGUUGGAUUGGUUAAGAAGGUUGGUGGGGCCGACAUCAGUGCUAAGUUUCUAAGGUGAUGUGGUUCGGCCCUCGUGAUAGUUUAGUUCAGUAAUUCUGCGUCAGUUAGAUUUGUCUCUAGCACAUUUUCACAUGAACAUUUCUUGUAUCACAAUCUUCUUUCAAUUCAAAUACAGAGGAAUACUUUCAUUUACUUUUUUAAACUCUGUGUUUGCCAAUAAUCAUUCAUUUUAUGUAUGUUAUGCUGCUUAAAUCAUACAUUUUGUAAAUCAGACAUUCUCUGAAAUUAGUGUCUCCAGUGUGUUGCUGUCACCCCCGUACUGCACCCACACACGCUAAGGUCAGACUCUGUACCAAGGUUAUUAUCGUUAACGAAAACUAACAAAAUAACGAAAACUAGAAGUGAAAAAACAUUUUCGUUAACGGAAAUAAAAAUAAAAACAAGACUUUGCAAAAAAAGGAAAACUAACUAAAACUGUAAUGAGUGUUCACAAAACUAACUAAAAUUAACUGAAUUUAUAGCAAAAAUGUGUUUUGAAAGUGUGUGUCAUACAAUAGCCUCGGGUGAAAAUGAAGUGUUUUUCUUGCUGUGUCUCAUUAUGCCAGCAGGUGGUAAGUACGUUAGUCGAGUCGUCUGUGUUGCCGCUCCGUCCCACGCAGAAUCACAUCAGCAAAAGUCUGGAGAAAUCGCCAGAGUCUAAUUUUGGAUUACUUUGAAUAUGAUUGUGUUUUAGAUAAAGCAAGUGUCUUGUAGUGGAAAGAGACAAAUUAUGCGGGACAUUUCUACAGGGAAAACAAUCCCACAAACCUUAAAGUGCACUUGAAAAGCUCACACAAGAAGGCUAACCUAGCUUACCUUGAGAAGGUAAGGGAGCAUGCCCAACCCUCAUUCCCAGAAACAGAAGCUAACCCCAGGCAAGGCAGCGUGAUGCAUCCCAACACAAGUCCACAAAAAACAUUAAUGCAGUGCUUCCAACAGCGACCCGAUGGCUGCUGGUUGGUCUAUUUGCAGGAACAUCACAAGCGAGAGGAAGCGUUGGUGAAUAUGUUUAUUGAGACUGGGAUAUCUACACAACUGUCUGAUUGGUCAAUGUCAUGUCAAUCACAAAUUACACAAUCCAAUCAGUUUGGCUGUCGGGGGGGGGGGUGCUUUACGGACCUUCAGGUCCUGGAAGGGUAACACAGUUUGAAGAUGGAGGACAGCGGUGGCGCUUCUGCGGCGCAGGUAAGCUUUAAUUUAUGGUUUACUGGAACAAGCUAAUUGUCCAGACAUAUAUUUUUGAAUAUCAUAUUCGGUUACUACACUGUAAUUUUUCACGGUGCCAAAACCUAGCUUAAAAAGGGCUCUCAACAUUAGCCCUAGUGUUAAGAUAAGAUAAGAUGACCUUUAUUAGUCUGUAACAAAACAAAUUUCCCACCUGUGGGACUAAUAAAGGUCAUCUUAUCUUAUCUUAUCUUAUCUUAGUGUUGCAUGUGUUCAAAUAGUCUCCUGUGUGGCACGGUCUGUCUGCUUAAACAUCAGCAUCGUGGAGAAUUAUGUGUUUGGAGUUUAAUCCCGAUGAGAUGUCGUUUUGGUAAUAAUUGGAACUGAAAUGCUCUGACUUGACCUUAGCACUGGUCCCAGGUCACCCCUGAGUUUGUGUUAGAGUAAUACUACAGUAAUUACAGCAUACAACAACUUUCAGCAGCUACUGAAAGUUAGGGGACCUAGCUUAACUUUCAGUAGCUGCUAACGCGUUAACGAGCAAACCGCGCUAACGUGUUACGCUGCGCUAACUUAUGGCAAGCCAUUAGUGCCAAAAUUCGCCACUUUUCUAACCCGUUUGGUUAAGAAAUGGCGUAAAAAACGCCGUUUAAUUAUUCAAAACG